UCUCCGUUGGUGAACCAGCGGAGGGAUCAUUACAGAGUUUUUAACUCCCAAACCCAUGUGAACUUACCAUUGUUGCCUCGGCGGAGCCUACCCUGUAGCUACCCUGUAACGGCCUACCCUGUAACGUCCUGCCGGUGGACUUUUAAACUCUUGUUAUUUAUAGUAAUCUGAGCGUCUUAUUUUAAUAAGUCAAAACUUUCAACAACGGAUCUCUUGGUUCUGGCAUCGAUGAAGAACGCAGC
rnacentral:misc_RNA from 1 species